GCUGCUCUGAAGUGGCCCUGGAACGUGUACUGGGUGCAGCAUCUGAGUGAGUAUGCAGAUCCAUUCCCUUGAGAUUCUGUUCAAGCAGU